AAAACAAACACUGGUUAUUAAAACUGCACACUUUGAGAUCAUUGCCAUUUUGGUAAGUUUUCUCUAUCAUAAAUAGUGAUAUGGUAUAUACAAUACAUUAUUAAAUGGACGAAUUUA